rnacentral:ncRNA from 2 species
GCCUUAUCAAGAGUGGCGGAGGGACCGGCCCGAUGAAGCCCGACAACCAGCCGGACGCGGUGUGAGCCGCGCCGGCCAGGUGCCAAAUCCGGGCAGGACCUCCUGCGAGAUAAGGG